rnacentral:lncRNA from 1 species
GUUUUGUAGCAAUAUUCUCUUAAUUGUUUUGUGUAUCUCUUUUAUUCAUUCCCUAGUAAAUUCUAUGAUCACGGUAAAUCUUCAUAUUUCCGAGGGGGAGGAAUAAUGGAGAGGCGAUGCUUAUACAGAUCUCAGUCUUUCCUUGUUGCUGAGUUCCAUUGUGGGGCCGCCUCGCUUUGUGGGAUUGUUGAGAACCCAAGACUUCUCUGCCUCCUCAGUGUAUCGCUGGUGACACUGAACUUCACAUUGCUGCAGAUAAUCCUUUCCACUUGGGAAGAUCACCUGAGCAUUCUCCCCUGGACUCAGCUGCCUCUGUCUUUCAUAACUCCCCUACACAUUCCCCAACUGACCAGUGUCGACCCAAGUAGGUAGGAACAACUCUACGUCCCUAUUCAGCAGGAAGAAGUUACAGAAGAUGAGACCUUCCACCUUCAACAACCUUAAAGAUUUAAGGAUCGAAAUUGCUCAGGGGGAAAUGUGGAGGCCGAGAAAAUUAAGGCCAUCCCACCUCAAGUUUAGCUGAUGUGGGAAACAGAGGCAGAAGAAACUCAUUAAAAUUCCUUACCUACUGACAAGCCCUUGAAAGAGACAGAGUGGCUCUCCCCUGGAGACUUAACUGCUCUCACCUUGAGGUUUUGCUAAGGACAAUCCUAGCAUGACUGCCCCCACCCCCCACCCCAACAGGUCCAACCAGGAUCCUGUAAGUCUACUUUAACAAUUCCUUUAGGAAACUUUAUCUCUAAACCUCCAAGAUAUUGUCGAGAAUCAUUCCCAAACAUAUGGUCCACUGAUAUACAUCUAAAGGGUCUCAGGAGAAGAUUUUUAUUACUGGGAAUAAACUUUCUCCCAACAAUAGUUAGCCCCUCAAGGUCCUGGAGACCUUGCUUCUAAAAUUCCUUAGAGACUUACAUCAUCCAUAAUCCCCUUUGUCCUCACCUACCGCCCAGACCACCCCUACUCUGCCUUUAAAAACUCUGACUGUAAUCUGGUUCAGGGUCCAAGUCCCUACUCUGCUGUGUCGGGUACACUUGGGCCCAAGCUUAAGCUUGUCAAAUAAACCCUCGUGUAAUUGC